rnacentral:rRNA from 1 species
CCCUUAGAUGUCCUGGGCUGCACGCGCGCUACACUGAUGUGUCCAGUAAGCACCUAACCUAUUCCGAGAGGAGCGGGUAACCUUAGCAAAGCACAUCGUGAUGGGGAUAGAUUAUUGCAAUUAUUAGUCCUGAACGAGGAAUUCCUAGUAAGCACAAGUCAUCAGCUUGUGUUGAUUACGUCCCUGCCCUUUGUACACACCGCCCGUCGCUCCUACCGAUUGAAUGUUCCGGUGAGCUCUUCGGACUGCGCGGUCUGCAGUUUCUGCGUUCCGUGCGGAAAGUUGUGCAAACCUUAACAUUUAGAGGAAGGAGAAGUCGUAACA